GGGCCAGUCAGCUUAGUUGGUUAGAGCGUGGUGCUGAUAACACCAAGGUCGCAGGUUUGAUCCUCAUUCGGUCCC
rnacentral:tRNA from 1 species